UUACGAUCACACCGUUUUAAAACACCGGUUCCCGUACUAUUACCGAAGUUAAGCAACGUCCAGCUUGGUCAGUACCUAGAUGGGUGACCGCAUGGGAAUAAUAGGUUCUGCAAU